rnacentral:lncRNA from 1 species
UCAUUUAAUAAUCAUCAUAUUUAGGUACUCAUGUAUUAUGGAUAUUGAAUUGUAAUUUGACAUAAUUUUUUAGAUAUUGAAUGAAUUAAAGAGUGUGAUUUUCUGUAUUAAUGCAUGAGAUGUUUAAUAGAUUUGUAUGUUAAUAAAAUUUGAAAUUGUAGUUUGUUGUGUAUUAUGAAUAUUGGCUGUGAGUGUAAUAUCAUAGCAAUAGAUUUCUAUAUAUCAAAAAUUAAUAAUAUUUAAU